rnacentral:rRNA from 1 species
UACAGAGGGGGCAAGCGUUGUUCGGAAUUACUGGGCGUAAAGGGCGCGUAGGCGGCCGCCUAAGUCAGACGUGAAAUCCCUCGGCUCAACCGGGGAACUGCGUCUGAUACUGGGUGGCUUGAAUCCGGGAGAGGGAUGCGGAAUUCCAGGUGUAGCGGUGAAAUGCGUAGAUAUCUGGAGGAACACCGGUGGCGAAAGCGGCUCACUGGACCUCUUCUGACGCUGAGGCACGAAAGCUAGGGUAGCGAACGGG